AUUGAACGCUGGCGGCAGGCCUAACACAUGCAAGUCGAGCGAGCGGCGGACGGGUGAGUCAUGUCUGGGAAACUGCCUGAUGGAGGGGGAUAACUACUGGAAACGGUAGCUCAUACCGCAUCCCAUCAGAUGUGCCCAGAUGGGAUUAGCUAGUAGGUGGGGUAAUGGCUCACCUAGGCGACGAUCCCUAGCCGGUCUGAGAGGAUGACCAGCAACACUGGAACUGAGACACGGUCCAGACUCCUACGGGAGGCAGCAGUGGGGAAUAUUGCACAAUGGGCGCAAGCCUGAUGCAGCCAUGCCGCGUGUAUGAAGAAGGCCGUCGGGUUGUAAAGUACUUUCAGCGAGGAGGCGUUACUCGCAGAAGAAGCACCGGCUAACUCCGUGCCAGCAGCCGCGGUAAUUC
rnacentral:rRNA from 1 species